UGCCGCCACGGGGUCAUCGUGGCAAAAGUCCAAAAGCUGCGUCAUAGUCCAUUUCCGGUGGUACCAUAGAACGGGGGAUUUUGUGUGACGGUGAAGCGGGGAACGGAGGAUUGUUGUUGUAAAUGAGAUUUCGGUAUGGAGAGUGAGUGGGUAAUGGUUUGCAGAGCCGGGGCAUUGUGAUUGCUUUUGUUCUUUCAAGGCGCACAGUCUGCGCUUCCGCCGAUUGCAGGCAGUUAGGUGUUCGGAAUCGAGGAGGAGGAGGAUUUCGGUUUGGAGGAGGAGAGUUUGGGGCGAGUAAGCUUGAUCGAUGUUCGAAUUGCGGUUGGAUUGCGAGGCGUCUUCACGGGGUGCUCCUGGAGAAACAUGUCCUUGAUUGCUACCAGUUUCUGGUUUCUGGGGCAGUUGCUCUAGUGAGGAG
rnacentral:sRNA from 1 species